GUUGGGCUUGGUGGCACAUGCCUGUAGUCCCAGCUACUCGGGAGGCUGAGGUGGGAGGAUCACUUGAGCCCAGGAGUUCUGGGUUGUAGUGCACUAUGCCAAUCGGGUGUCCACACUAAGUUCGGCAUCAAUACGGUGACCUCCCGGGAGCAGGGAACCGUCAGGUUGCCUAAGGAGGGGUGAACCGGCCCAGGUCAGAAAUGGAGCAGGUCAAAACUCCUGUGCUGAUCAGUAGUGGGAUUGCGCCUGUGAAAAACCACUGCACUCCAACCUGGGCAACAUAGCGAGACCCCAUCUCU
rnacentral:SRP_RNA from 1 species